UACGUAGGAUGCAAGCGUUGUCCGGAAUUAUUGGGCGUAAAGAGCGAGCAGGCGGUUCAUCAAGUCAGAAUGUAAAAAUAUCCCGGCUUAACCGGGGAGGGGCCAUUUGAAACUGAUGGACUAGAGUGGAGCAGAGGAUAGUGGAAUUCCCGGUGUAGUGGUGAAAUGCGUAGGAUAUCGAGAGGAACACCUGCGGCGAAGGCGGGUUGCUGGGCUGAUACUGACGCUGAGGCGCGAAAGCCAGGGGAGCGAACAGG
rnacentral:rRNA from 1 species